rnacentral:rRNA from 1 species
GUCUAUGGCCAUGCCACUCUGAGCAGGCCCGACCCUGUCUGAUCUCGGAAGCUAAGCAGGGUCGGGCCUGGUUAGUACUUGGAUGGGAGACCACCUAGGAAGAUCAGGUGCUAUAGGUG